UACGGAGGGGGCAAGCGUUAUUCGGAAUCAUUGGGCGUAAAGGGCGCGUAGGCGGCUUGGCAAGUCAAAGGUGAAAUCCCUCGGCCUAACCGAGGAACUGCCUUUGAAACUGCUUGCUUGAGGCCGGGAGAGGGUAGCGGAAUUCCCAGUGUAGCGGUGAAAUGCGUAGAUAUUGGGAGGAACACCAGUGGCGAAGGCGGCUACCUGGACCGGUUCUGACGCUGAGGCGCGAAAGCGUGGGGAGCGAACCGG
rnacentral:rRNA from 1 species